rnacentral:rRNA from 1 species
GAUGAACGCUGGCGGCGUGCCUAAUACAUGCAAGUCGAGCGAACAGACGAGGAGCUUGCUCCUUUGACGUUAGCGGCGGACGGGUGAGUAACACGUAGGUAACCUACCUAUAAGACUGGGAUAACUUCGGGAAACCGGAGCUAAUACCGGAUAAUAUUUCGAACCGCAUGGUUCGAUAGUGAAAGAUGGCUUUGCUAUCACUUAUAGAUGGACCUGCGCCGUAUUAGCUAGUUGGUAAGGUAACGGCUUACCAAGGCAACGAUACGUAGCCGACCUGAGAGGGUGAUCGGCCACACUGGAACUGAGACACGGUCCAGACUCCUACGGGAGGCAGCAGUCGGGAAUCUUCCGCAAUGGGCGAAAGCCUGACGGAGCAACGCCGCGUGAGUGAUGAAGGUCUUCGGAUCGUAAAACUCUGUUAUUAGGGAAGAACAAACGUGUAAGUAACUGUGCACGUCUUGACGGUACCUAAUCAGAAAGCCACGGCUAACUACGUG